GAGGAGCUUGCUGCCGGUGAGCAGGUGCGAUUGGUCCCUGCUGAUCACAUGACGAGUCCUGCAGAAGAGAUCAAACAGGACGCUCUCGUUGGCCUUCGUCUCCUCACCUCAGGGCCUUCGUCUCCUCACCUCAGGUCCUUCGUCUCCUCACCUCAGGUCCUUCGUCUCCUCACCUCAGGGCCUUCGUCUCCUCACCUCAGGUCCUUCGUCUCCUCACCUCCGGGCCUUCGUCUCCUCACCUCAGGUCCCUUCGUCUCCUCACCUCAGGUCCCUUCGUCUCCUCACCUCAGGGCCUUCGUCUCCUCACCUCAGGUCCUUCGUCUCCUCACCUCAGGGCCUUCGUCUCCUCACCUCAGGUCCUUCGUCUCCUCACCUCAGGGCCUUCGUCUCCUCACCUCAGGUCCCUUCGUCUCCUCACCUCAGGUCCUUCGUCUCCUCACCUCAGGUCCCUUCGUCUCCUCACCUCAGGUCCUUCGUCUCCUCACCUCAGGGCCUUCGUCUCCUCACCUCAGGUCCCUUCGUCUCCUC
ensembl:lncRNA